GAACAUGAGGAUGUGAACCUGAGUAAGACGGAUCUCUACCCAAAGGAGCAUGGUCUAAUAAACAGAGAAGGCUCAGGAGGGUCAGAAACACGGUGCCUCAUUUCUCAGCCUACUUGCCAAGAAUUCCCAAAAAGGAAGCACUGGAGGAUCAUUCCAAGGCUUGAGCCUUUCUUCACGAAGUAAGUCAGGUUGUGGGCGAGAGAUUCAGAAGACUGGAGAGAGUUUUUCUGCACUGCCUGCUCAGCACCAGAGAAACCGGAGGACCCUUGGCUGUGCCCACAGCGGGAAAAGCCCAGGCUCCAGGUCCAGGACUACCCACUUCCCUUGGAAUGGUGUUGCCAUCACUGUUCUGGCACCGGAGAAAGGAUUCUACAUCGUUAGGAGAAAAGAAAAAGGAGAAUUUGGGCUUGCACUGAGAGGAUUACCUUUGGUGGUCUGGAAGUGGUGGUAAGUCCUGGACAAUUCUCACAUUAAUCGUUUUUGCCUGUUUAAAAUGGGAAAAAUAAUGCCUACUUUAUAGGACUGCUAGGAGGCUUAAGUAAGUAUGUGUGCUUGUAAACUCUCCACAGAUGCAUGCUGUCAUUAUGAUCUUUGCUGCACAAGCAUUAUUUAACGUCCUCAGUGUGAUUUUUUAAAUUUCACUCUCACAAAAGAUAGGUUUCCUCUUCAUAAUAAACAUGCGUCUACUUCCCUUUUUGAACGUAAGAUCCCAAACAAAAAGGAAAUUGAUGUCCUUAUAAAAAGGAGCCAAUGCAAGAAGCAUCUAGAAGUAACUUUAGAUGCAGUGUCAAGAAGUUUAUUAGUGACAGUCAUGUACAUAGCACAGUGUAGAGUAAUGCAAAUCUGUGCUUAUACCACCCAUUUAAAAUAAUUUUAGUUAGCACAUGAAUUUGUUGCAUAUAAGCAGCACCUUUGACAAGUUAUUUAUUUAAAAGGGUCAGAUUCAGGCAUUGUUUCUAAAGUAGAACUUCAAUGGCAAAAUCUGAAAAUGUUAUUCUUUCAAUUAAAAAAAGUGAGUAGGUGUGUGUGUGUGUGCGUUUAUCACUGGUUUCAUGAGUAUUGCUGAUUCUCAUAAUAGACAGAUUAGAAAAUCUGACCAACUCUGUAUUAAUUAUCUAUUGUUGCACAACAGAUUACUCUAAUACUUAGUUAAAACAACAGACCUUUGUCAGUGUGUGGUUUUUGUGGGUCAGGUACAUAAAAGAGGUUCAGCUGAGUGGUUCUUGUUUGGAAUCUCUUAUGAGUUUUCAGCCAUGCUAUUAACAGGGGUUUUGAUCAUCUGAAGGUUUAACUGGGGCUGAAGAGCCUGCCCCCAAGAUGAGUCACUCUUGUUUAGUGGUUAGCAGGAAACCCCAGCUCCAUGCUGGCUAUUGGCAGGAGGCCUCGGUGUUUCACAAUGUGUACCUCUCCAUAGGAUUGCUUGAGUAUCUUCGCAACAUGGCAACCGGCGUCUCCCACAGGGACUGAUCUAAGAAAGAAUAAGGAAGAAGCCUCAAUGCCUUUUAUGUCUUAAUCAUGAGGUCAAAUACCAUGCCUUCUUCUAUAUUCUGUUUGCUAGAAGCAAGUUACUAAGUACAGCCCAUACUUAAAGGAAGAAGAAUUAGACUCUACUUUUUGAAAGGAGGAGUAUCAAAUAAUUUUUUAACAUGUUGCAAAACCAACAUAAGUUCUUUGGUAUAAAUUGCACUUUUCUAUUGUUGGUAUUCAGAACAAAACAUUUUUCACAAUUGCAAUAGCUACCUAUAUUAUUGGAUUCUCAGAAUACAGAACAUAAAUCUCUUUAUUGGUUAUGAAGAAAAUGAAUUCAGAGGCAUAAGGAGCUUUCUUCAGGUACAGAGAAGUUCAGUGUCCAACUCUAGACUUAGAUCUAGAAUUCCGAUAUAUAAUUUCAUAUGCAGUCAGAUUACAUCUAAAUAAUAAUAGCAAAAACAGGGCUCUUCUACUGUACUGUAAUUUACUUUUCCAACUUUUGGCUACUUACAAGAUCACAAACAUCUGGAUUUAAAUUGGAAACAUCUUCUCAAAAAUCCAGAUGUUUCCAAAUAUAGGUGUUUUUUUUUUAAGCCAUCAAAAACCCCUUGGUGAAUGAGUAACUAUGCAUGUUGAAUGGUUAUCCCAUUAAAAAUCUAACUCCCUUUCCCAAUUUACGUUAUUCUAGGUGGAAAGUUUCUAAUGUAAUCCAGUGUUAAAUUAGGAGUUUGGACUGACUGAGGCAACAAGAUAUAAGAGAUGUCAGAUAGCAAAGUGAGGUGAGAGACAGGACAUCAAGUCGGAAAUUUUGAAAGAAACUCUCCUGAAACCGCACAGCUUCUGUGCCUCUCCUCCAACAUUCCUCACCUAGGCUGAGGUUAAGAAGGGGGAUGUUAGAGUGAGGCAUUUGAAUGUUAGAAAAGCAAUCCCCCCACCGCAAAUAAGGGAACAGCCUCCACACCAGACUGCUUAGAGUUGAUAAAAGACCUCUGUAGGCCAAAGGCGCAAGGAACUCGUACCUGGCUCAUGACUUAUAAGACUUUGCCUAUGAGAAUUAGAAAACUCAUGAAGAGUUCUUGAAUUUUCACUAAGAGGCAGUGAAAUCAUUACUUCCACAGAACAGGUUUAAAGGGAUAGCAGAAAAUGAAAAUAAAGAUACUUUUAUAACUAUCCCUCAUGCAGCCUCUAUGUUUAACACAUGGAUCCACUAAAAUAUAUCACAGACAUUUUCUGCCUUUUAAACAAAGUAUGGUGAGUUAUUAAGAAAAGGUUAAGUUAUUUUCAGUGUUAUCAUGACUAAUGCAAUAAUUAAAAAAACCUUGGAUUUGAAUACUACAUUUUCAAAGUAACUCAAUACAAUGAUGUCCCCAAGGCUUAUGGAGAUCUAUGGGGUUAUUUACCCCAGACUCAUAAUUCUUACAUGUGUGUUUCCAAUUUUCCUGACACAUCAUUUGGUUUCUAUAUUUUCCAUUGUCACUUUCACUAAUUUCUUCAUGCUUCUGUAUAUUAUCUCCUCUCUCUUCUUUUAAUUGAUGUUUGGGAGAUAAACUUGUUGGAAUUGUGAGUGAAAUAAGAUUAAAUAGUACCAUGAUCUUUAUUUGUUAAUUGCUUGCUAACCAACAUUCUACACAGAGAAAGGUGCUGGAUAACUGACUUAUGAAUAAGGGAAUUCUGACUCAAUUUAUGUAUUAGGUAAAAAUUAAAAACCAGAGGUGUGUACAUACGAGGUAUUCAUUGACAUUAAGUAUUUGAUAAGUAAUUUUGGCUUCAUUUUUAAUAGGAUUUUUCUUUAUGUACUUUUAAAUUAGUUAAUUAAUUCGGCUAGUACAUAGUGAGUACCUAUUAUGUGCCAGAUGCUAAGCUGGUAUCCAUUAAUGCUGAAUUGGAUUAAACUGUUUAGUCAACUGCUUCUAUUUGAGUUCAUGAGCUCAAUCCUAACUGUGCUCUGUAACUUGGGCCAAGAAAUGGAUUUUCCAUGUCUUUUGAGAAUGGCAAAUCUCUUAUGCCACUUAAGAAGAUGAAGAGACAAUGCAUUUAAUACCAGAUGGGGAAUGAAUUCUAACCCAACAAAUGGCAGAGGAUUUGCUGUGAGGCCUGACAGCAAUAAAACUCACACUUUACUUUCAUAUGAUGCUUUAGUUUUCCAGAUUUCUUUAAGAACUGUCCUUGUAUUAUACUUCCACAACAGCUUUCUGAAAGGUAAGAGAACUCUGAAUUCUGUUACAAGUGAGGCUAAAUGUUCUAAUUGCCGAGAGCCAAUAACCAAGCCAGGGCUAGAGUUGCAUCUUUAUUCUGUAAAAUCCGCCUUUUCUUUCUUAAAUCAGGGCUCCAGCCUGGGCUUUGGAGGCUUAAUUUCUGCUGGUAUAAUAUUUAUUGGGCUGAUUUUGAUGCAAUGCAGAUCACAUAUUUAAAGAUAUAAUUGGACGUCCUUGUAGCCAAGUGGUUUCUCCAGAGCUCGAAAUGCACCAUCAGUGCCUGUGUUUGGGAACCUAUAUAUUUCUGACCUCUGCUCUACUUCAUAAAAGAGUUGAGUUACCAGAAACAGAACUGAAGGCCAAGAGUGGUUUUCAUGCAUUGAGCCCUUGGCAUUGGUUCCUGGUAGCAAACCUCUGCCCUUCAUGCAGCAGGAAGCUGAGAGAAAGACCUGCUUCCCAGGGCUAGAUGCUUUGGGAGAAGACAUUCCUCACCACCAGGUCAGUGUAGAGGCUUCUGCUGAGGCAACAAGGAAGGACUGAGGCUGGAGAAGGUCCAGGGUGUCCUAAUUGCCAUUGACUUCGAAGUCCUGCUUCCACUGCAGAGUGAAACUAUAAGAGGAAAGAGAAAUUUCCUACCCUACUGACACUCCCCACUUCCAGAAGCUCGGCUUCUACCUAUGGAGCUGUCAGGCUCCCUUUUCUGGUCAGCACUGGGGAAGUCAGUGAUGAGCAAGCCAUUGAGGCUGAAACACACAUUCAGGGUUUGCAGCCAACACCAACGUUUCCCUCAUUGCACAUAUUGUGUUGGGACAAUGGUCUGAUCAAAUGUUUCCUAAUUUCAUUGUGGACUUCCUCUCUCUAAUGAGUCCCUUUCUCCCAGCUCUAAAUAAAGAAGAUGCUAAAAACGUGACACACACUACAGAUGGGUCACCCACAUCUGGGCUUUUCAUCUUAAAGACGGGGUGGGGGUGGGGAGGACAGUUAAGCAAGACAUGGCUGACUUUUCUUAUAAAAGGGGUGAGUGGGGAAAGGGGGGGUAGAGAGAUGAGGGAAUGAGGCCGAAUCAUCCACCAUUGUUACUGAAUGACAGACAUAUCCAUUGGGACUAAUUAUAAUAACGAUCCCAGUCCAUAACUGACUCAGAGCUUGAGUGUCCCUCUCUAUGCCACAUUCUCAAAUGUGGGCACCUGGAUUGCACCCAUGAAGUUGACAUUUACCAGAGAAACCCAUGUACAGAUUGAUAUUUGCAUGUGAAAACUGGAUAAUUGUGUGUGUGAGAGCAAUAGAGUUUCUGUACACAAUUACCAGCCUCUCCUCGAGAUGUUGGGAGCAGUUUCUGGUCCUUUGGGAAACUGGCCUGCAAUUUGCUGGUGCAGACUGGAGUUCGGGGAGUGUAGGAGACACAUUCCCAGGUUUUAGGGAAGAAAGUGUGAUGAGUUGAGAUGGAUGCAUUGACCAUCUGUGAUGCACUCAGCACUGUAACAUGGUGUGUAAGACCACAGACUGUGCCAUCGGAUGGACCUGGAUUCCAAUUCCAGCUCCACUACAGCUCUCACUAGUGCAAAGUGCAGGAGAGUGUAGUUUCUUUGAGAAGCUAUAAAUAACUAUAUGUUUGAGCAUUGGGUCUGCAUCGUAUUGUAGCAGAAUCACGUAGGUCUCUGUAUUAGGCAAGGUUCUCUAGAGGGACGGAACUAAUAGGAUAGAUGUAUAUAUGAGGGGGAGUUUAUUAAGGAGUAUUUACUCACAUGAUCACAAGGUCAAGUCCCACGAUAGACUGUCUGCAAGCUGAGAAGCCAGUGGUGGAUCAGUCCGAGUCCCAAAACCUCAAAAGUAGGGAAACCGACAGUGCAGCCUUCAGUCUAUGGCCAAAGGCCUGAGAGCCCCUGGCCAGCCACUGGUGUAAGUCCAACAGUCCAAAAACUGAAGAACUUGGAGUCCAAUGUUCAUAGGCAGGAAGCAUCCAGCACAGGAGAAAGGUGAAGGCCAGAAGACUCAGCAAGUCUGCUCUUCCAUCUUCUGCUUGCUUUAUUCUAGCCAAGCUGGCAGCUGAUUAGAUGAUAACCACUCAGAUUGAGGGUGGAUCUGCCUCUCCCAUUUCACUGACUCAAAUGUUAAUCUCCUUUGGUCACACCCUCACAGACACACCCAGGAACAAUACUUCGCAUCCUUCAAUCCAAUCAAGUUGAUGCUCAGUAUUAACCAUUACAGUCUCCAAGGGAACAGAGUUGGCACAGUGAGGUUAAGUCUUUGGCAGAACAAGAUUUGAACCAAGACUGUCCCUUUUAAUUGUCCUGCAUUUAGCCAUCUCACAUGGGUGUUCAGUGAGCACUUGGUGAGUAAUGGGACUCCAAGCACAAAGAUGUUCAUCAUUCUUCUGUGUGUGAGUUUUCCUCUUCAGUUUGUGAGCCACACUGGGUCCUGUAAAGAAGGAAUCUUCAAGCCCAGUUUUAGGGAUGCAGGUAAUUUCCACAGCCAGUGCUUCCUGUGGUCAGUAUUGAGGAUCACAAAAGCCACAAGAUGCCACAAGGAGUCUGUCAAUUUUCUUUUUGUGUGUGUGUGUGUCGUCCAACCUGGAGUGCAGUGGCGCGAUCCCGGGUCACUGCAAGCUCCACCUCCCGGGUUCAUGCCAUUCUCCUGUCUCAGCCUCCAGAGCAGCUGGGACUACAGGCACCUGCCACCAAGCCCAGCUAAUUUUUUGUAUUUUUAGUAGAGACGGGGUUUCACCAUGUUAGCCAGGAUGGUCUCUAUCUCCUGACCUCAGGUGAUCUGCCUGCCUCGGCCUCCCAAAGUGCUGGGAUUACAGGCGUGAGCCACCGUGCCUGGCCAGGAGUCUCUCAAUUUUCUACCCCUGGCUUUACUGUAUCUUUGGCUGAAUCCUCUGCCUAGAGUGAACCAUGUCUUUCUCUCUUUCUCUUCUGCUCUUCUCUUCCUCAAGCUCAGAUGAAGCUGUACCUCUUCUUGGAAAAACAAACCCAUGAGAAAGGCACUAAUCCUAUCGCCACUAUAUGGAUGAGGAAACUGAGUUACAGAGAGAUUAAGUAACCAAUCCAACAUCAUAGAGCCAAUAAGUAGCAGAGGCAGGAUUUGAAUACUGACAGAUUGGUUCUAAAACCAGUGCUCCUAACCAUUAUACCAUGCAACUGCUCAAUUAGAAUAGCCGUGUGUGUGUGUGUGUGUGUGUGUGUGUGUGUGUAUACUGAGCUGGACCCUCAGUAUAUACAGUCAGUGAAUUUUUAAUGAAGAAGAAGGUGAGGAGUUUAUUUUGGCCUUGGACAGAUCACCAAGUAUUCUUGGGUUUAAGGCACAUUUUGGUAGUUUUCUAACUUUACCAGCAGAAUGUAGUCAACGACUGGGAAGAGUGGGCCUCGGUGGCGUUUUUAUGCCACCAACUGGCUUUAAGUGCACCAGCUAAAAGCAGUUUCUUGCUGGAGGAGCUGCAAGAACCAGGGGAAAGUGGCACUAUUCGUGCUAUGGUGUAAGACAUGUUGCAGAGUCACGUGUUCUGUUGCCAAUUUUGGAGGAAUGCCGUGAUGUAUUUUCUGUUGCAGCUCUGGGGCUUCUCCUAAACUCCUACUCCAAUCCCCAAGGUCUUUUUUUCCCCCUUCUGCAACAGGCUCUAGGAAAUCAACACACUUCCCUCUCCCUCAGAAGCUGCCACUGUCCUUUGGGGUUGGUUUCCUUAACACCCUCUGAAGACAAACACAAAACACCUUUUUGUCUUUAAGGCUUUUACUGCUAAUCGCAAGGGGAAAACAGAGCAUCACAAAAAUGGCAAUGAUGAGAAGCAGUAGAUGGUCCAGCAUCUUACAAAGUCCAUGUUGUCUGGAUCCUUUGUAGUUUUAAAUUCCUUCUGAAAUCAUGAAGGAAAGCCUCAAAGAUCUUGUGCCCACUUCUGAAGGUUGAACUCGCUUAAUCUUCCCACUGUUUUCUGAUUUCUCCUUUAGUGAGGUCAUAGGAAUAAUUUUCUUCAUGUGACUCCUCUUCCCAGCCUCAACAUGUAGUCUCUGGGUAUCCAGUAGGUGUUUGACUUCUGUAAAGACUUCCAGAGUGAGUUACUCUGGCUGGUUCAAUGCACUGCUCUUUCUCUGGGUCUUUCCCUACACUCACUAAGGUCCCCAAAGGCAGGAACCAUUCCCUGUUCUUCUGUCUCCUCUCUUGUUGAUGGGUUUAUGGCCAAAAGCCUGAGCUUAUUGUCUACACAAGCAAUGUAGAAAUGGUUUAUGGCUUGACUUGGGUCUUUAUCCCUGAAAGUAAUUCUCUGAUGGUAAAUUUGUACUUUUAUACUUGUCAUGAAUCGAAGGGCCUUCAGGGGAAUGUAAUUUUUAUUUAAAACCAUCUAGUAGAUGUUGGCAAAUACAAAAAUAGGAGAGUGGGUUGAGCCAGUCUGCUUGGGUGAAUGUCUGCUUGGAAAUCGCAUACUAGGAUAUGCUGUAUUGAGUAAUAAAGUAAAGGCUGUCUGGAGUCAGAUAGAUGUGGAGGUGCAAGAAGAGGGUGUACAAAUGUUCUUAGAGAUAGAUCUGGAGGUACAAGAAGAAGACGUACAAAUGUUCUUACUGUGCUUAUACCAUUGAAUGUACUUUGAUGAUUUGGUGCCAGAAAAGCAGAGAAACACAACUGCAAAGAAGCAAGAAAGGAGAAAGUAGGAUCAGAGGACCUGGGGAAGGGGCAGCCAGACCUGAGAGGCAAAGCUUAGAGAUCAGACAUCAUACUUGGGCUAGGAAAGGCAGCAUUUGAUGAGGCAAGGGAGCAGGGAAUGGCAUCUCUAAAGUAUGACCUGAGAUUGAAAGCACGUCAAGAGAAAGCCAAGAGCCGUGUGAAGCAAGUAAGAAAUAUCAGCCCCAAGAUCUGCUCUCCCUUCAGUAUGGGUGGCCUUUUCCUGUUCUCUUGUCUGCACUUUCUCAGGCAGUUGUGAAUGAUGAGGCCACCCAACAGAAAUGAUAAGCCCUCGAAACCUCCGUUUUGUUAUGCUCUUUUUCCAGCUAAGCAAUUUCUUCAUGAUGUGGGGCAGAGGGUUGGAGCAACGGUUCCCAGCAGACCACCAUGAGCUUCUCAUGAGAGAAGCUGCCCUGAAAAGAUACACGAUUGAGAGCAGAUGAUGAUAAUCAUUAUCAUCAUUUUGGCAAACUUAGAGGAGAACGCAUAUAGGAUACUAAAAUCUUAUGGUGCUGGCGAUGCAUUUUAUGGGAAUCUGGCAUUGAUUCAGAAGACAGUACUUCUACCCUGAGACUGUUGUAAUUUCAACAACUUAAAAUACAUGCCCACUUUAAGACAAUAUGUCAAGACUAUAGUGAGUGAAAUAAUAAUAAUAGCUAUUGUAAUUUGAAUGGGAAUUUCUUACCGUAGCCUGAUUAGCAGAGGGUCUUUAGUCAAGGACAUGCAUUAACAUCAUCUAUUGUACGAAUGAUAAUCUACUAAUGCAAUACUAUUAAUACAAGAGUCGCUUUGUAGAUUUGUCAUCAUUAUGUUAUAUGUCCAAUGAGUGUAUGUAAAAACAGUUAAGUAUUUCUCCAGUGUCCUUCUCCUUAAAGUAGCCCAUAUUUUAAGCUCAUCCAGCUCUGCUUCACUUGCAUGAGCAUCUUCCCCAGGCUCCUGGAGAAAGUCUGUUGCUUGGUCUGACAUCUCCUGCUUCUCUCCUUGGCCAAUCUCCUUUUCAACGUAAAGACCUUAUCCCUUAUUUCAAGCUCCUGAUUAGUUGUCUGUUUCUGUUGGUCUCAUGGACCUCACUACCUGUUUUGGAUGGAUUAUCCAGCUCUGAAGGGCUGUCAGACUCUCCUCCCAGAGGACAUCCAUCUAAGAACCCCUGUUCUUCAUCUCAGCACACUUUCUCUUAAUACUCUUCUUACUGAAUCAAAGAGCUGGGAGCUUCCACCUCAGUGUGGAAGAGCCAUAGGCGCCAGACUCCAACCCAUGAGCGCAGCUACAGGGGGCUGCAGCCUGGAAUGCCCUAGGGGCAGAGCCUACCUCUUGCACCAGGUUGCAGGACAUGGAGUCAAAAGAGAUGGUUUUGGAGCUUUAAGAUUUAAUGACUGCCCUGUUGGGUUUCAGACUUGUGUGGGGCUUAUUGUCCCUUUCUUUUGGCCAAUUUUCCCCUUUUGGAAUGGGAAUGAUACCCAUUCCCUGCACCAUCAUUAUAUCUUGGGAGUAAAUGACUUGUUUUUGAACUCACAGGCUCAUAGGUAGAAGGAACUUAUCUCCAAUUGAGACUUCAGACUUGAAACUUUUGAGUUAAUGCUGAAACGGGUUAAGACUUUGGGGGACUAUUGUGAAGGCAUGAUUGUCUUUUGAAAUGUGAGAAGGACAUGGGAUUUGGGGGGCCAGGGGUGGAAUGAUAUGGUUUGGAUGUUUGUCCUCUCACAAUUUCAUGUUGAAACGUGAUUCACAAUGUUGGAGGUUGGAUUAUGGCAAUGUAUUCCUCACGAAUAGCUUAGCCCCAUCCCCUUGGUGAUGAGUGAGUUCUUGCUCAGUUAGCUUAUAUGAGAGCUAGAUGCUUAAUGAGCCCAAUUCUUCCUGCACUCUCUCUUGCUCGUUUUUGCCAUGUCAUACACCUGCUCCCCCUUCACCUCUCACCAUUGAUUGUAAGCUUCCUUAGGCCUCACUAGAAACUGAGCAGUUGCUGGCACCAUGUUUGUACAGCCUGUAGAACCAUGAGCCAACUAAUCCUCUUUUCUUUAUAAGUUACCUAGGUAGUUACCAGGAUUUUUUUUUUUUUUCGAAGUCUCAGUCUUGUCCCCCAGGCUGGAGCGUGAUGGCGCGAUCUUGGCUCAUUGCAACCUCCGCCUCCGGGGCUCAAGCGAUUCUCCUGCCUCAGCCUCCUGAGUAGCUGGGAUUACAGGCACCUACCACCACACCCGGCUAAUUUUUGUAUUUUUAGUAGAGACAGGGUUCCACCAUGUUGGCCAGGCUGGUCUCGAACUCCUGACCUCAGGUGAUCUGCCCGCCUCGGCCUCCCAACGUGCUGGGAUUACAGUCGUGAGCCACUGCGCCUGGCCCAGGUAUUUCUUUAUAGCAAUGCAAAAACAGACUAAUACAGAGGCCGUUAAGCUGCCUGCCACAGCUAUGUAAAUAGUGCUCACUACAUGAUAUUAUAGUGCAUGUUAUAGGGAGUCAUGAUUAUAUUUCUUUUCUAUACAACUUUUUAUUUUCUUUGGACCUAAUAUUUGCCUCUUUUUUUCUAUUUGCUUGUGUUUUACAUGUAUCUAUUAUUAAUUCAUCCUUAAACCAUCUGAUACAGCUGACAAUCUUAAUUCCUAAACAUGCCAACUAUUCUUUUAGUUCCAUCUCUCUUUUCUUGGCAUCAUUCCUCAAGAGCUCUCUGUCUUUCUUCUCCAAUUUGGGUUUUGCCUUUUUGGGGUGCAGCAUAGGUGUUUUCUUGUGGUUUCUCUUCACUACCAUCCUGAUUUUUUUCUCUCUCUCUUCUGUUUUAGACUCUCUGUUUCCAGGAUCCCAUGUCUUUGUUGUUGUUGUUGUUGUUGUUUAUUCUCCCAUUUAACCGACUCACAUCAACAUCUUUCUACCAGUUCUCCUGUUAUCCUGGCCUCCUGUGUGAUCUGUAACCCAAACACCUGGGUUUUUCCAGGAAUCUUCAAGGAACAAGAUCUUGUAUUUGUGGCUUUGUCUGGGGCAGGUUUAAAUUUCAACACUCCCUGGUCUGCUAACUCAGCCGCAAUUCACCUCUCUUCCAGCUCUCAGCUUUUGUUGAUAUCAAUUGUGUACUGUCAUCUCUCAAAGUCUCUUUGGCCGUGUAGGCUUGAGCCGCUUUUUAUAUCUUGCUGAUAUUUUAGUGAGAUUUCAGCAGGGAGAGAAGAAUGGGUGUGUGGACACCUCUGUGCUGGGAACUGAUUACUUGGCUUCCACACUUGGUUCAGCUCUUCCACUGAAGGCAUGGGAUUGUUUAUUUUUCCCACAGAUAUUUUUGAAAUAUUCUAAAAUGGAAGCUAUUGCACUAACUGCCACUACAUUAUUUAUUUUGUCAUGUAGUAGGGUAUCUGCUGA